rnacentral:rRNA from 1 species
UACGUAGGGGGCAUGCGUUGUCCGGAAUUAUUGGGCGUAAAGAGCGUGUAGGCGGUCCGGUAAGUCAGGGGUGAAAUCCCGGGGCUCAACCCCGGAACUGCCUUUGAUACUGGGUAUCUGGAGGUCGAGAGAGGCGAGUGGAAUUCCGAGUGUAGAGGUGAAAUUCGUAGAUAUUCGGAGGAACACCAGUGGCGAAGGCGGCUCGCUGGCUCGAUACUGACGCUGAGGUGCGAAAGCGUGGGGAGCAAACAGG